rnacentral:rRNA from 1 species
GUCCAUGCCGUAAACGAUGUCUACUAGCCGUUGGGGCCUUUGAGGCUUUAGUGGCGCAGCUAACGCGAUAAGUAGACCGCCUGGGGAGUACGGUCGCAAGGUUAAAACUCAAAUGAAUUGACGGGGGCCCGCACAAGCGGUGGAGCAUGUGGUUUAAUUCGAUGCAACGCGAAGAACCUUACCUGGUCUUGACAUAGUAAGAACUUUUCCAGAGAUGGAUUGGUGCCUUCGGGAGCUUACAUACAGGUGCUGCAUGGCUGUCGU